GGGAAAUCAUGUGAAAUUUUCUAACCAAAAAAAUUCAAGCACGGUCAAUGAAAUUGCUAAAAAACAUAUGGAUGGAACUGAAAUUGUUUAAAACAACAGCUUAACAACAAAAGUCCUAUCCAGAAGCAUAUGUUGGUGUUGGACCCAAUGCUUCCACAUUUAACAUCCGCAGAUGGUCAUCUGUUAUUGACAUCGCUGAUGAUCCAUACCCAUCACCGGGGAGAUUAUAAUGGUUCAG
rnacentral:misc_RNA from 1 species